AUGGCUUUUCUAUUCAUGCAUUAUAAACUGCAACCCAUUUAAUUAUUAUUAUUAUUUUUUUUUUUUGUAUCAUGAGUGUGAUACACGUAAUCUUUUUAUUUUGCUCAUUUUAUUAAACUCUUAAUACCUAAACCUUCAGCCAUAAUGUGCAGAUCCUUUCUACAUAAAAAAAAAAAAAAUCAGUCUUCCUUUACUCCUAAUUAAACUUAGAAAUGAUGAAUCCUAAGGGUUUUCAAACUGUCCACAGUUUUAUAUUAAUUACCUAAGUACCCAAUUAUUCAGAAUCACUUUGAAUAUGCCUUUUUAUUAAAUGCAUUUUUUUUCUUCACAUUCCCCAAAUGCAUGUUUGAUGUAUGCAACACAAGGAAAUGUCUUGGUUGCAUUUAAUUAUAUAGAAUCAUGUUAUUUUUGGAAUAUAUUACACAUUGAGCCAAACUGUCCAAUAUACUGCAUCUUAAAAAAAAAUAAAAAAUUUUAGCCAUCAGAUGAUACAAUUUAUGAUUACAAUCGAGCAAUUUUUUUUGGUAAAGAAAAUAAGGAUCUUAGGGUAACAGCAUUAAACCUGAACAGAUACAUUUACUAGUAGUGGGGAUUUUGAUUUAUCAUAGUAACUCUAUUCUUUUGAUUCUUUUCACCAGGUUUGCUUAAUAUUUAAUUUACAUUGAAUUGCAUUGUUUUUAUACAUAGUUAUAUUAAAUAUCGUAUAUAUUAUAGUUAAUAUAGUUAUGGAAAAAGUUUGUAGCAUCAUCACUUCUAAUUCAUUACUUUCUAACACUUACAGCCCAAUAAUGAUGAAGAGUUUACUCUUCUGGCUUGCUUUAAUAUUGGGGUUGAUGGAUGGAGUUUAGUCAUCAGUUUUAAUGAAGAAACAAUUCUCAGAUGAUGUACAAAAUCUAAUGUUUGUAUUUACAGUCAAGUAGAUAUGUCAUGCUUAAAAGCACACUUUAUAUGAUAGCAGCAUUUUCUGGAGCGAGAAUGAAGUACUGUAUGUCACCUCUGAUCCCCGAACAAUGGAGGCUUGAAAUAGAUUUUGCUGUUUCUAUUAAUGCCUGUGCUACUGCCGGACCUGUCAUCAUCUUACACCAGUUAAAAAGACAGAUCACACUUAAAGAAAAAUACAAACAAAUAUCCUGUCUGACUAUACAUUAACUUUAUUUUUGCUCUCCUGUAAUAGGAUUCUAAGAACAACAUAAUGCAUGGAUGUGUAUAAUAGGUUCAGCGCAGAAAGUUUGAACAAGAUUGAGUGAGAUGUUAUCUUCACUGUAGAUCUUAUUGGCUGGAGAUUUCAUGAACCCUCCCUCACAGCCUCUGCUGGAGUUCUGGAGCAAAAGGCUGCCCCCCAAUGGUGCAGAUUUUCACUGACACACACACACACACACACACACACACACACACACACACACACACACACACACACACACACACUGUACACACUGAAACAGACAGCUCUACAUUGCUUAGUAUCUGAUUCUAAUACCCCUUCCAGGGUUUAUGUAUAAUCUGAAAAUGUAGUCUUUGAUGUUGCUUUACUUCCCAUCUUACCAUUAAUUUCUUUUUUUUUCAUAUCUCUGCGGCAAUACAACUGCGAUAACGUGUCUUUUUUGAGUGCGCCUUUAGUCGGCCAGGAGGGUCUGUGUGCUGCAUAAUGUCAGCCUUGAAGCACAAAUCCAAAGAAUAUCAGAGAACGGAGAGGGUCCAGAACACAGAGGUUUGUAGUUCUCUGCACCUCUCCUUGCUAAUCAGUGCCAAAGGAAAAGAGCUGUGACAAACAAACGGCUUUUUCAGCUCACAUUCACAAAUGUUCGUUUACUCUCUCUUCUAUUAUGAAAGCUCUCGAAGCUUCACGGACAUGCUGCCUCACUUUUGUGCUGACAUUCUAAAAUAGGUUUAACUUAAUCAAAAUUCUUUGUGCCUGCCUCAUCAGCGUAAUAUCAUUUGGCUUUUUGCAUUUGGUAGUUGUAAAACUAUGCAAGGCUCUAAAGUAUAUGCUCUCAGGGCAAAGAAUACUUAUGAUAUGAUCAUCUUAGUCUUACAUGGUCUCCUAUAUUGAUCUAUUUCCUUUUUAAACUGAAAAUUCAAGCAGGGCAUAUUAAAGUUUUUUUUUAUUAUUAUUAUUAUUUAUUUAUUUUUGAAAACAGCAAGUAGACUUCAAAUAAGUCAGCCAUGAGCAUGAUUUGCAACUUGCUCGUCAGUGGUGAAUGUUAUAAGGGGGAGGGGCAUUCUGAGAGAGAGCAUUUGAUUGGACAAAAAUAUGUGUAGUGCAGGAUGAGUCAUCAAUAUUCUUGCUUUUCACUAGAAGAAAAAAAGAUUUAGGAUUACGCUAACUUUGUAGACUCAAAGCUAACACAUACAGACUAAAAGCCACAAAACUCUCAUUUUAAUUUUAUGGGGUCUUGAUAUACAACAUAAUUACUCAAGUUGACAGCACAUUGUGAGUAUUAUUGUAGUCACGUAUUAUACUGUAAGUAUCACUAAAUCAAGGGUUUAUGUAGAUCCUAAAGCAGUACCUCUUCCCUCACUCAAAAUCCUCAUUAGAACUUCAACCACAAUGUUUGUUACGCAAGGUAUGAAGCACUAUAAUUAUACUGCUUUGCUAAUGGCAUUAUAUUUUACUUCUCUGGAGACACGUCUGCUAAACAUAGCUGAAGUCAUGAUCUUACAGUGAGCACUUAGCAGUCUCUACAGCAGGAAUGACUGGAUUCAGUGUUUGAAAUACUCUACAAUUUUGCCGGGGUGGGCUCAUAAACAGUGUAUGGAUUGCCACGAGAAAAAAAAUGCCAUAUCCUCUUGAAGAAAAAAAAAAUAAUCACAAUUGUCUGGUUGUUCCAAAAGCCCACACAGUGAACAAGUGCUUAUCUCAUUCAAUAUUUUUACAAGCAAACAAUAUAAAAAACUGUGACGGAUUUCAAGAGCUGAGAUUUUACCUUGAAUAUCCAAUGUAAUAAGCAGACAUGGUAUAUACAUGCACACAAUUACACAAGCACACUAAAUACCUGGAAAAUCAUAGUAUAUUUGCUUUAUUUCCCAGAGUCCUUUGCAAGGCUGCAGGGAGUAGCUGUGCCUUUACUUGACCUGUUCUUCAAUCUCCUGACAGCUGUCAAUCUGUUCAACUCUUUUGUCACAUUGAGUUGUCUUGAAUGCAUGUGUGCAUGAACAGCUUUUUUUUUCAAUGCAUUUUCUGUUUGCAUUACCCACCAUGCAGCAAAUAUGCUUUAAUAUGCUUUGCUAGGUCUUUAGCGUGCAUGUGUAAUUGUGUGCACGUAUAUAUAUGCAUGUCCGCGUGUCUGCUCGCUAUAGGCUCUAGGCAGCAGCCGGCGCAGUCAAAGGCGGUCUAAUAUUAGCACCUAACUGAUGGCUUGCUGUAUCUGGACGAAAGAGGGUGAUAAAUGAGGAUAGCAGUGGUGGGGCCAUGGAGCCGAGGGGGAAAUUUAAAAGGGAUAGCAUCUCGUUUUACAGCCGAAAAGCCUACAUGCAUGUCCCAUCUGCAUCAUAAAGUAUAUAAUGCUCAAUCUACAUGUGACACCUAGAGAUUAGCCAGAGACUACGAGAUCAUGAAGCAAGUGAAAGAAAGAGAGGAAGAGGGCAGUAUGGUGCUGGUUUGCUUUCCCGCCGCUCCGGUCGCUGAUUUGAUCCCAUGCAAUGUUGUCCGUCGCUAGCUUCCCUACUUGCUCGGCUUGUCCCUCCCCCAUCGGCUCUGGAUCCUCUCCCCCCUCGCUCUGCCCAAGCCUGGGGGAGCCAGUGGAGAUUAAAUGUAGCCUCUAUGAGCCAAGCACAUCAUGUAGCUGUGUUUCUAGGGCCUCUCACUCUCUGUCUUUUUCCCUCACUUUCAUUCUCUUUUUAAAGGAUAGUGUUUAUGAUGCUGGGCAUGUGAUAGAGAAAUUCCAGAAUGUCAAUGUCACUGGAAAUACCAAAUGUAGGGAUAUUUUACAAGUAAAAAAAAAAAAAAAAAAAAAAAAAAAAAAAAAAAAAAUCAAAGAGCAUAAAAAUCUAUGCCUUUUUCGACACUAUUUCUCUUUCUCCACCAACAUCCUCCCCCCUUUGAGUUGAUACUGAGGAGAAGUGGGCCUCUGGCUUUAAAUGAUUGCAGCUGUGCGAGCAAAUUAAUGGAUGAUAUUUCUCUGUUUUCCCCCCUUUCUACAACUUUUUUCAACAUGGAUUUAUAAAGAGGGAAAGAGGGACCAGGGGUGUCACGCUUCUACGUUUUCCCCUCCUCUUUCCAAUUUUGCAUAUAUCUCAGUCUGCUCAACUCAGAGAGAGAGGAAGAGUGUGCAUUUGUGUGUCCUAAGAGAGAGAGAGAGCAAGAGCGAGAGAGUUGACGAGGGAGGGAGAAAAUGAAAUGUAAGACAGAUACGGAGAGUGAAAGAGAAGAAGGGGGUGUGGAGAGAGCAAGCUAGCGAGUGUAGAGAGCCAGUAACGUGGUGCAUUGAUGCAUUUGCUGCGUCUCAGACGUGCUCUUUCGGCAGGACAUAGCCCAGGGUUUUUUUGGCUGCGGCAGGCUGCCGGUUUUCCAACAUCGAAUCGAGCCAGACCUGGAAUAGGGAUAUACGUGUGAACGGAGUUGCUGCAGCUGAGCAGCACUGGACGAGUGAGGUGAAGUGAAUGAGUGAGAGUCCUGUGCUGUGUGUGUGUGUUCACCCCCUCCUCUCCUGAGAUCCAGCAGACUGGCAUGAUUUGCUGGUGGUGUGGCCCUGGCUGCUGCUCGGACUGUCUCUCAUCCUCAGUGCCAUCACACCACCCUUCGGCUUUUUCUCAUCGGCACACUCUCCACCUCUGCCGGUUUUGUCGGCAAGCUGUAAUAUGGACGCUGCAAGAGAACGGUGAUCGGCUUCAUACUCAUCCUCAUCCUCGCACCAGGGUGAGUUUAAAACCAUUUUCUGCUUCUCCCCACCCACAGCUGUAGCAUCUGUUAGUGUCUUCAUUACCUUUGUCUGAAGCUGCUUGUAUUGGGCUUGCCAGUUAGCAGUAAGCUAAAUUUUCUUGUAUUAUCUUGUAUUAACACUUCAUGGUUUAGGCAAUGUUACAGUUCAGUGGUUUAGACUAGUACGUCGGGGACGCAAGUAGUAAGUUGCAGCGACUAGACGGAGAGCUUUUUAUGACUAGCGUUAAAUGCUUGUCAAGAGAGCUUAGCGAGACAAGAGCUGGUGAAGAGUUUACCUGGAGCCAGGGGCAUUUUUUCAAAGUGCCGUAUUGUUCGGUGUUAGAGACUGAGUGUUGGGGAAAGAGAGUGAGAGAGAGAGAGCUUGUGGGGAGAGGGAGAGAUGGGUCAGUGUUGUGUCUAGCUGAAGGUUGCACUUGUUGUGUCACAGACAGACAGACAAACAAGUGUCGGGGGUUUGGGGGGAUGCACAAAAGCUGCGAGUAGAUGGGCCUUUUAUAGCCAUACAAUUUUUCAAUUUUUGUUACUGUGGGACACAUCAGUAUGCUCGAAUUUUGUCACAGGUUGGCAGUAAGUCUGCAAAUGUGCCUCUCACAAUCCCUGAGACCCUAACUUGUGACGUUUUCCUGUUAUGUGCACGGGUUAGGUUCUUGGGAGCUGAGAGGGGUGCUCUGUCAUCAGCCCGUCGGCGUCGGAAACAAAGACAUUUUAGUCAACAGUGAAGCACCAAUGUGAAAGGAGAGCGGAAGCAGCUAGCCGUGUGUAUAAAGGGACAGUGUGCAUUGGAGGAGGGGGUGGGGGGCAUUGAAGAAAUGCCGGCAUACAGGUCAUGUGAUGCACUAGUGGGUAGAAUCAGCUGAGAAUUCAUUGUUAGAGGGAUAAGGUUAGAAAGAGGAAAUCUGAUUCCUUUGUAUUACUUGAGUUUAAUUUCAAAUGCUGCCAGGCCAGGGCUUGAAAACAUGUUAAAUGGAUAAAAUGAAAACUAUGUCAUCAUUUAGUCACCCUUAUAUUGUUCUAAAUCCGUAUGAUUUUUGAGUGGAACACAAAAGAGGAUAUUUUGAGAAAUGUCUCUCCACACAGUGGAAGUCAAUGGUAACCAAGGCUGUAUCAACAUUCUUCAAAAUAUCUUCUUUUGUGUUCCACAGAAGAAAAUCAUAUAGGUCUGGAACGAUAUGAGGAUCUGUAAAUGAUGAUUGAACUUUUGGGUGAACUAUCCAACCAAUUUCAAUAACCUAUUCAAUUCCACAUCUCUUUUCAUUUGAGAGCAGCACAAAGUACUAUGGAGAGCAUCAUGCUAAAGGCUCGGUACACUUGUGUUUGACCUCAGAGAGCCCUCAACUGCUCACUUUGUAGAUGUGAACAUCAUCUUUUUAAUGUGUGCUGAGUCAUAUGUGACUUUGUGUGUGUGUUAAGUUCCUCAUGCUAUGUAAUGUGGCUUCAGCAUGUAGCAUGGCUACUGUGGUAUGCAAGCGCUGACAGGGCCUUACUUUUUUGGUUGUUGGCUAACCUAGAUGUAUAUCCCUUAAGGCACUGGACCUUAAAGAUUUGCAACUGGAAGACCACCAGAGACCCCUACUACCAAUUAAUUCAAUUUGGUGAGAAGCAUUGUGUUAUGAGCGCAAAUGUCGAGAGAUGGGGUUGUCUAGAGUUCACCCACGCUCUUUCAUGGUUCGUUCCAUUUCCGUAGUGUAUUGGUGGUGUUGGUACUGCUGUGUAAAAUGACAUUGCGGCAACAUUUCAACAAAGGAAUGAUGAAAAACAAGGCCAAAGAGUAUUUAUUGCAGUCUCUACACAAACACCUUUAUAGUCUAAGACCUUUUUAUUGGCAUUUAGAGAGACAGUGAAAGGCUGCUUAAUGAGAUAACAGCUUGCCUACAGUUCAUGGACGGUGCAUUGCUGCAUUUAAGGCAUCAGCCGCUGCAUCGUACAUAUAAUGCAUGGUGCCAUCACGCCCACAUCCCUGUCUGUCUUUCUCUCUCUACCCACCAUCACACCCACAGGCUGUCUCUCUUCCUCUCUCUAUCUAUCUGUACCCACUGUCGCAUUCAAAGAAAACUCUCUUCAUCACAAACCUUGUCACUACUAUUGCAGACAUCGAACGCUUUGGGGUAUGAGGUGUGAUAUGUUAUACCUUGUCUUGGUACAUGUCCAGGUAGCCAUGCUCUUGCUCUCUAAGAGGACUUGUCUGGUACAUUCUGUUUAGAUUGCUUUCUGAAUUUCCGAUGGAAAACAUCAAGCUUGCGCACACAUUUCUUAGGCUUUCCAAAUGAAAAUGAAAGACUUGCAGUAGCGGGUCCCCUUUAUGGCUUGGCAUGGCUUAAUAUUGCUUUACCCCUGUCUCUGCAGUGCUGUGCUCUGGAGUCUAGGCUGCAGCUCUAUUGUUCACUCCUGUCUUUCUGUGCUCACGUUGCACUCCACUGGCACUAGGACAGCCUCCCCGGGCCUGGCCCACUUUUAAGGUGGACCGGUAAACAUGGAGGAAGCCAUACAAUCGCGUUUAAGGCGGACUGCCACAGGUUUACUGGCUUGGAACAAAGGCUGCUGCAGUGAGGAAGGUUGUGCAGGUGAAGUGUUAGACAGCGCCAGGGUGGGUGACGCCCAUGGCUAAGCAGCACCGGGCCGUCUCUUCCAGAACCAUCCAGUCGGGUCCAUUUCAUCCGCUAAGGCUACAUAUCAUCGUCCCACCGUAAGAGUGUCCGUAGACAUCCUUCUGAAACGCUAAAGCACCUCAGGUCUAAAAUUAGUCUAAAUUAGUCUAAACUGUCUAAAAAGGCAGCCCUUUUGAUGGAAAGAGAUUAUUACUUAGUAUUGAACUGUGGAGGUUAAAAGUUGGGUAUGUGAAGUCAGUUGGUAUAGUGACUGUAGCUUCUAAAACCACCCAACAACGAUGACUCUGAUUGGAUUUUCAUGAAAAAGAGUCCGGAUGAUGGUGACCACAUGCUAGUGUGAUUGUUUAUUGCAGUUUUUUUUUAUCACGGCAAGAUGGUGUGGAAAGCACAUUGUCUGUCAGAAGCAACAAUAUUUUCCAUACCCACAGGUGGUGUUGCUGUUGCUCAGUAUUUGGUUGACAUAAAUGGAAGGAGCGACUGAUCCAAAUUCUAUCCUGAGACCUAAAAUAAUGAUUCUACAGUGCUCGUUAAUGUAAUAGAGGUUGUGGCUGAAUGGCUGCCUACUGAGCAGUCACAUGGAGAAGGUAUGUACAGUACUUGUUCAUGCUCUCCAUCGUUCUAUUGGACUCUCUGGAGUCAGUGGGCAGACUGAAUGUACAUGUAUAGUCAGUAGUGAAGGACGCAUUUCAGCGAUUCUUAAGUAAGCACGCAAUAGAUGAUCAUGUGUGUGUCUGUCAUACCUUCAUCCACAUGCGACAUUCCUGAAUACUUUCCCCCUUGGGACAAGGGCAGGCUACAGCUAGCGCACUGAUGCUAAAGAGCACAGCUGUGUGUGUAGAGAGAGAGAGUAAUCAUAGUAAUAAUAUAUCAGCCAGUCUGAAUAACUGACCAGUAUUUGACCAUUUUGACAUUAUCUGCAUCAGCUUUCUGAUCACCAGAAGUGGUACAUUUACAAUUAGUCAUUUAGCAGAUUAUUUUAUCUGUGUCAGUUCCAAAAUCAACCAAUAGCCCUAUCAAUAACAUUUUCUAUUUCAGUUAUUUUAUUGAAUAUUUGUUAGAUACUGUGUACGUAUUGUAUGUCUUAUUAAACAUCAAGAUGUUUUAUGCAUAUAUCAGCAUUAAAUUGGCUACCCCUCUAGGUAUCAAUACUGGUCCAAAUUGUUUGACCACUAGUGUACCUGUAUGAUGGAGAAUGCCUGCAUCUACACAGGUCCAUAGUAGCGGCACAGGCUCAGCUGCUUACUUCCUUCAUAAUGACCAUCGAGAGUUUGCUAUUUGCAUGGCCAUCUGCGCAGACAGGCAGGCAGGCUGGCUCCUCGGACCUCAGUACAGGUUAGAGCAGCUUAAGGAUUACCGGCACAGGCAUAGAAAGAUUAAUCAGCUCACAGGCCGAACCUAAUUAAGCCAGCGGGGAAAUGUCACCAGUGUAUAUCAACAAGCCUUCUCUUUCUCUCGGCCCUGCCCAGCUCAGGAAUGCACGGAUAGGCCUGUCCUCUUAUCCUCUGUCCCGGACCAUCCGUGGAGCUCACCGAGCAGAACAGUAUUCCUUUCACUGCACUCAGGUCAGUUGGUUCAUAUGAAGACGGCCUGGAAAUCCCCUGGGUUACAGUGGGAAUGUGCUGUUGGGUCGGACCUGUUCUGGCUCAUCUCAUCCCGCCUUACUGAACUCAGUAGCUGCUGUGGCUAAUGGUGUGAGAUUACCUGUGUAACAUUCGUAUUCAUUAACUUUUAGCUAGUAACUGAGUAAACUUUUUGAAUAACUGAUUAAACUAAAAGAGAUACAGGAAAGAUCUGAAAAAUGACUGGGACACAGAAUUUGCUUUAGGAGCCUGGGUGAGCCAUGAAUAUUAAUUAGGUGAUGUAACAUUCCAGCCAUAUUAGGAUUACUGCUUUCCAAUUGCACUUCUGCUCAACUGCCGAGGUCGUUGUAUGUGUCUGUCUGCAACAAAACAUAAAAUGACAAGCUCUUAAAAUUUGAUUAUUACUCUAAAAGUGGAUGGGGACAAAUCUAGAAAUUUCAAAAAAUGUAAGAACAUUAAACUGUAGCAGCUGUACUUAAGGUUGCCAAAAUUAUGCAGUUGAUUUGUUGAUCUGAACUGAAACUGUUUGAGUAAUGUUAUUAGUGGAAUGCCCUAUCAUAACUAUAUAGUGAUUAUCAUUGACAUAAUCAUUAAAACACUAGCAUUGAAAGGUCUGGGGUCAGUAAGAUUUUUAAAAUAAUAUUUCUUUAAAUGAAAUAAGUUUUUUAUUGCUCACUAAAGCUGCAUUUAUUUGAAUGAAAAUACAGUAAAACAUUAAUAUUGUGACAUUUAAAAUAACUAUUUUCUAUUUUAAUAUAUUUUAAAAUGUAAUUUAUUCCUGUGAUGCAAAGCUGAAUUUUCAGCAACCAUUACUCCAGUCUUUAGUAUCACAUGAUUAUUCAGAAUUAUUCUCAUAUGCUGACUUGCUACUCAAGAAACAUUUCUCAUUAUUAUCAAUGUUGAAAACAGUAAAAACAUUUCUUUGAAAUAGAAAUCUUUUUUAACAAUAAAUUGUCACUACUUGUAAAUUACUGUCACUUUUGAUCAGUUAAAUGCAUCCUUGCUGAAUAAAAUUAUUAAAUUCUUGCAAAAACAAAAAAAUCUUACCAACCCCAAACUUUUUAAUGAUGGCAUACAUUUAAUAUGAGUGUGUUGAUAAAUUGGGGUGAAAUAAGCAAACUGUCAUUUAUUACCCUCAUUCGUUUUUUUAAAUUUUGCACUCAAUCAGAAUUUCUAAGCAUGAUAAUCAAUCUUCGCCUCUAUGUACGUAAUUCUCUCAGUAAUCACGCUGGUGACUGAUUAAUUUGUCAUUAAUAAACAUUGUCUCUUUUGGCUGUGGCCCUGUUUCCUCAGGAGCCAGGAAUUGUGUCGCUGUGGUGACUGCUGUCAGUGCGAUUUGCAUGACAGUGGUUGACGUUUUUUUCUCAGCGAUUUGCCAGGGGCAGCUAGUGGCCAGGUCUCAGAGUGCCGAGAAAAGCAUGGUGGCAGUUCCGUCUCUCACUCUGUCAUUAUCAGCAGCACUGCAUGUGUGUGUGUGUACUGCCAUCAAAUGAGCCACAAAGGAACAUUCAAAUCAUGUUUCUCACACUUCCACAAGCACCUUGAGGAAAUAAUGGCCCCAGUGCUGUAAAGGGCAAUGCUCAUUGGUAACGGGUAUUACUGAUUGCCAGAGCUGUAUCCUAAAGCCUCCCCAAUUGUAUAGCACAUGACAUACAAAGCCUUCAUUCACACUGGAAGUCUAUGCAUAUUAUAAAUGUGUUCAACUGUCAAACGUAUUAAUUCUUUGCUUGCAGUGCAAUCAUGCCCACGUAUUAUGAUGUUUGGCACAGCAUGAGACGCUUUUUGUUAUUUUGUUGUUUCAGGACAAAGUUCAGUCUCUUAUAUCUCAAUCUCAUUUGAUGUUGAAUUACUUUGGCAUCAGCUUCACAUAACCUUAUAGGAUUGGAACUGCCGUGCUGCUAUGGCCAGAAUAUUGAUAACAGAUGUUCAAAUGGCUUAUCAGAUCAUUGUUUGCAUGCCAAAGUGAUCUCUCGUUAUUAUCUGAGUUAUUGUUAUUAUAAGCUAUUGUUUUUGUUUGUGUACUUGUAUUUGUAUAUUAUUUCAGAGUUUAUUAAAGAUUAACACGGGGGACUUUCGAUUUAUUGAUGCUAUAUUGAAGCCGUAUUGUUUAAUAAGUUUAGAUAUUUUUAAAAUGCAUUUUGUUUAUAUUAUAUUAUAUUAUAUUAUAUUAUAUUUACAUAUAUUGCAUUUUUCUAUAGAUGUUUGUGAAAUUAAAACAUAAAAUCACCUUUCAUUUAUAAAAGGUCCAUCAUAUAGUACCUUUUUUGACUUGAUUCAUUUAUUGUAAAGAGCCAUUUGAAUUUGCCUGAGCAUGUUCAAUUUUAUUUAAAUUUAGUUUACUUUUUUUAUUAUUAUUAUUAUUAUAAACAAAAAUGACAUGCAUAUUUUCAGCUGCAGGAUUGAGAGGGUGGCGUUGUUGAAAUGGACAGCAGCACAGGGAGAGAUGGUGGGUGCUGUGGAGGUAGACUGUCACUGUCUGUGUUUGUGACUAUUGACUAACCUGAACAGAGAGACAUAGGGCAGGCUGGGUGUGAUCCAUUGGCCUCAGACUGUCCUUCCUGUCCUCUGCUUAGAAAACAUAUCAGACAUGCAUCCAGAAAUCCCUGCUUUGGAUGGACAGCACAUCUUCUCCUUUCCUCAACCUCCAGGACAACAUAAUACAAAGUGCUGGCUUGUCCUGAUGUUAAGAAAAACUAAUGCAACCAAAAAAUACAGAGAGAUAAAAUAAAGCUUUUCAGUAAAUGAUCUCUAGAGGUUUGAACCUUAGACCGCCUUUUCAAACACUGCCCUUAUGUCAAAUUUAAUAUUUUAAAUCAGCUUUAAAGAAAACCAGGGUCAGUUGUCAUGCUUUUCACCUUUUUGUUUUUGAAAAUCAUUUUCUGUUUAGACACAUACUAAGAAAACACUUUUGAACAUCUCUUCUAAUAUUGCCCAGGAAAGCUCCAGCUCUUUGACAUUAAGCAGGAAAUGUUGACGCACUAUACAUAUAUUGGUGAGUUGCCAUUAAACAUCUUAUUAUUAGCAUUUCAGUGAAAUGUAAACACUAAAAUGAUUAUUAAACAAGUCAUGAAACAAAGAAUUUAAAGGUUAAAGUAUAAAAAUAUCAUAACAUUUUUAUGGGUAAUAAAUAUUGACAAAUUAACAAAUUCUGCAAGUGCAUAACAUUUAAAAAUAUGCCUAAAUUUGUUUUAAAAUUUUCAAUUUAUUUAUUUAUUCAUUUCAAUUUAAAUCUGGAGCUAUUAUAUAGCUAACACUUGGUUUUCACUUGUUGAUCCAACAAUAUUACAAUAUGGUUAUUGUAUGAAUUAAAAUAUGAUUUUUUUUAUUAUAAUGGCAAAAAUUAAGAAAAUAGUUGGAAAACAAUUGUUGGCUAAAAAAAAACAUUUUGGAAACCAAAAUAUCCUCCAUGUAACAAUUAGCUGGUAUCCCCUUUUUGAAUGGCUAUAUUCACAGUAAUAAUGUUCCAAAGAAUUUUUACAUUUUUUAAAGACAUGAAUCUCAGGUUUGCCAUCAAUGGUGGAGGUGUGUGUAUGUGUUUGAGUGCAGUUGCAGGUCGGAGUGAAGAUGUGUGUGAGGGAAAUGGUGAGAUGGCUCAGGGACUAAGCCUGCUCUUAGUCUGCCAUCUCAGUCGGGAAAGCCUCUGCAGAUUAUCCUGGAGCUGACAGCAACCAAAAUAGAAUGAGCCUGAUUCUCUCUUUUUUGUGUAUGUGUGCAUGCGCUGCCCUUUUUCUUAGUCUCUGUCUGUCAGUCUCUUUUUCUCCCACUCAGUUUCCCUCCUGCUGUCAUGUUUUAUUCGCACACUCUCAGAAUCCUGUCCUCGCAUGGCUUUUGGCCUACUUAUUGUAUUAUCAAGUGUCAGUAUUUUUGGGUAAGUGAACGUGUGAAUGCUGUUGUGUUUGCAUGUGAGCGACUGACCACACCCCAUUGAUUUGUAAAGAAAUCAGCUCCAAACUCUAAAUCCACGAUUGGCGCGGCGUUCCUUCCAGGGCUCAGCACAAUUUUUUUUCUGCCUAAUGGUUUUAAAAGCAUCCAGCAACUGUUUUUAUGUAACUGUCGCCUCCAUGAUGUACCUUGUUUAGAAUUUCUCAAAUAGCAAGCAAUCCCAAGGCUACGUAUGUGUGAAAGCUGUUAUUUUUUUCAGGCCACCAUGAGCGAUAGCUCCCUGUGUUUGUCAGUUUAAGACCUGGAGUGAUAAUAAGCCCUUUGUCUGUUUGUGUCUGUAAUUUACAGUCCUUUUGUUUUUUAAUAUAAUGUGCUUUUGUUUAAUUGUUAUGCAGUGAAACCUUGUACGUUUUCAGAUAAUAUGUGAAUCUAACAGCCUCCAUGUCAGACACGGACUUCAGGUCACAGAGUUUAGGCUCUGUGAGUUCAAGAAAACACUUCAACAAUGCCGUAGCAAAUGGCUGUUACAUUAUCAGACCCCAAGGAGGCUUUUCUGUGUAAACCUGCUGACCCCGCGCAGGCACGACAUGCCCAUCUGACUGAAAAAAACCCCCGGAGGGCCUGGAUGUGGAGGCCCAAAUCUCGCUUUCUCUCACCUUCCUAAAACACUUCCAGUUGCUGGCUCUCCUCUCUCUGCCGUGGCUCUGACAUCGGUGUUGAAUCUCCUGACUUUGUCUUGAUUGUAUUAAAUCUGCAAAACACAAAUUAAAAUCAAUGUAAAAGAAAUAC